rnacentral:lncRNA from 10 species
AUUUAUUUUAUUUAUUUAUUUUUAUUUUUUAUUUUUUUAGAUAAGGUCUUGCUCUUGCCCAGGCUGGAAUGUAAUGGCAUGGUCGCAGCUCACUGCAGCCUCCGUCUUCUGGGCUCAAGCAAUCCUCCUUCCUCAGCCUCCUGAGUAGCUGGGACUACAGGUGUGUGCCACCACUCCCAGCUAAUUUUUAAAUUUUGUGUAGAGAUGGGGUCUCCCUGCAUUGCCCAGGUUGGUCUCUCAAACUCCUGGGUUCAAGCAGUCCUCCCACCUUGGCCUCCCAAAGUGUUGGGAUUAUAGGCGUAAGCCACUGUGCCCGGCUGUUUUUUGUUUUGUUUUGUUUUGUGUUUUAAUUGAACGGACUGAAGUUUACUUUCUAACUAGGUUAGCCCUCCAUUCAUACAAAAUUAUGAGCCCAAAUGUCUUGGGGAGAGUACAGGAGAGGCCAGAUCUUAAAAGCCAGGAGUGGAAUUAGGUUUGAGCAUAUGUAGCAAUAUGGAAACAAAGAGUGAGUCAAUUUAUAAGCAUACCAAUCUUCUUGGAGACAAAAGUUUGAAUUGCUCACGUGUCCAUUUUUUUUCUGGAAUCCCUGAAGAAAUUUUGAGAUACUGAGUACUAGAAAACCCUCUUUGAUGAGGGUUGUAUACUUUAUUUUUAAACAGUAUCAACACCGUUGAGGCCCUUCAAGUCUUUGCAGUCAAAAGCCAUACACUUUUUCUUUGAGUGAGCCUUUACUUUAAGGUAUGUAGUAGAAUAAUAUAGGUAUCUGAAAAAGAACUUGGUUCAUGACAUCCACUCAUUCAUUUAUGCACUUAGCAAAUAUUCAUUGAUUGCCAAAUACGCAUCAGACACUGAGCUAGGUGCUAGGUACUAGGUAAACAAAAUUCCCUGCCUUCAUGGAGCUUAGCUUGUGGUGGUGGAAAGAAGCCCUCAGCCUGAAUACUCAACUUAUGUCUGCCGUUUAUUCCUUAACACAUUAAACUAUAGGUAAUAGCAUAUGUUAGUCUAAUCUUUGUUUAGCAAAGCUAUUUCUUGUUCUGGAAUAUAAGUACAGUUACAGCAGAAUAAGUACCAAGGCAAGAUUGGAGAAUGACCGGUUGUGAACAGGGACUUAGGAAUAUGUGUAGCAUAGGAUUUUAUUUUAGAGUUGUUAAAAUCAGAUCAACAGAGCAUGUUUUUAUGGGCCAUCUGACAAGACUAGAGGUAGCUUUGGAACCUCUUAUUCCCUGGAAUGCAAACAUGUAUUUGCAUUUCAUCCACUGUCAGUAUGAGGAGACAAAAACGAAGUCAGGAUUUUGGAGCUGGAAUGGAUCUUAAAUACUAUGUAGUCCAAACGUUUGGUUUUACAGAUGCACUUUUUCCAGAGUGCUGUCAUCUCAUAUACUUUUUUCUUCAUACAGGUUUUUAAUGUAACUCACUCAGAUCGUUGGUGAUAGACUCUCUCUUAAAACUUAUUUAUCCUAAUCUUUUUUUUUUUUUUUUUUUUAAGAGACAGGGUUUUGCUCUGCUGUCCAGGCACACAAUAGCUCACUGUAACCUCCAACUCCUGGAGUCAAGUGAUCCUCCUGCCUCAGCCUCUCAGGUAGCUGGGACUGCACUACUAGUGCACUAAGCUAAUUUUUAAAUUUUUUUUGUAGAGACAGGGUCUUGCUGUGUUGCCCGGGCUGCUCUCUUAACUCCUGGCCUCAAGUAAUCCUCUUGCCUUGGCUUCCCAAAGUGCUGGGAUUACAGGCGUGAGCCACCAUGCUUAGCUGAUUUGCCCUAAUCCUCUGCUGACAUUCUGAUAUCGGACAACUAAAAUUAUAACAUUGGGCAGCUAUUUUGUAUGAUAUAUAGGGUAGUGGUUCUUAAGCUUAUUGGUGAGUAACCUUCACUUGGGAAGCUUAUUUUUAAAAAUGUAGACCUUCAUUACUUUCCUCCUGAGAUUUUGAAUCAGUACCUUUGAGAGAGGGUCCAGUAAAUCUUUGUUUUGAAUGAACUGAUGGUUUUGAAGCAGGUGACCUGGAGGACUGCAUGUAGAACACAGUGAUGUCAAGGAGUAAAGGAGAGAACAGAAGUGAGAUUAGCACUAAUCACCUCUAAUGCCUUAUUUCCAGUAAAGUUUAGAGAAGAGGAAAAGCUACUUGGCUUGCUCCUUUGAAGGUUUUGUUUCCCUCUUAACACAGAAAUUAAAAGGUAGAGGAGAGAUGCUGAAUGAUGCUUUUUUUCUUCUUAAUCUUGGGGGGUCAUUAUGAUUAAGUUAUUGAAUCCAUAUCACCGUAUGACAGCACAUGAUGAAAGAAAAUCAAAUGUUUGUUUCAAUCAAAGUGAAACAAAAUGAGAAUAACUAUUUGGGCAAAACACUUUUAUCACUGCUAAGAUAUUACUAGAACUGAGCAGAGAAAUACUCAGAGAGAGCCAUGGCAUAGUACUAAUUAAUAAUGGGGUACCAUUUAGCAACUGGAAUAUUCUCCGAUGAUGCCUGUUUAAUUACCCAUAGGUGCUAAGUGAAUGUUAAAAAUUACGGUGCUGGUUGAGUAGGCCGAGUAGAAUUUGUGUUAGGGCACAUCCCAUGGAGAUCUUUUUUACUGCUUAAUUUUUUGGAGUUACCUCAGUAACUUAACAGGCAGGAAUAUGGUUUUAAUGGAAAGGAAACCAUUUGCCUUUAACAGCAUUAGUCCCGCUAAGAGAAAGUUUUUGCUUGUCUAGUUUAUUACAGGUCUUUGACUUUGUCAGUAUAUGGCAAAUUUAGUAUAAAAGAUGAUUAAUUAUCAAGGCUGAUGAAAUAUAGGCAGCUGAAAAGAAAAUUCUUAGCAAUUCAUACCUUAGAAGGAACCCUGAAGGACAGGACGCCAUAGAAAUCCUGUUUUUUUAAAAAAGUAAUUUCAAGUAAGUUUGCAAAUGCAAUGCUAGUAAAAAGUAUAUAGAGGUAUGUCUUUCACACUAUCUUGUUACUAUUAGAAUUUUUGUAGCCAUGUGCAGAGGAGAGAAAAGGUGUUGGAUUUUCUGCAGUUCUGAUUCAGUUCUAAGAAUUUGGUGUGAAAAGAAUGUUUGCAAAGGAGCAGGCACAAAGGUGAGAACAGGAAUACGAAACACAACAUCUGUAAAUGACUAAAUUCAGAGGGAAUUUAGUGGGGCAUAUCUCUUAAAUGGUUUUGAAUAAUUUGGUGUUUUAACCAAUGACUUAAUUUAACUUAGUGGGUAUACUGUUCCCAGUCCCAUUACUGAUUUUUAUUCCUCUGUGAUAACAUACACCCAAAUAAAGACUGCUAUGUAUUUGACUUUAAAACUAUAAAGAUGUAAAAAAGGUUCACUAAGCCAAACACCUUAGAAAAUAGCCUCAGCUAUUUGCUAUGUUUAUAUUAUACCUGCAUAAAAGUAUUUAUGUAUAGAUGUACUUACCUUACACAGUAAGUACCUAAAAUUUGUAAAUUGAAUACUUUUGAAUGUAAGCAGUUGAAGUAAAACCUGUAGUGAGUUCUUCAGUCAGUCAACACUAAACCUGUUUUGUAAAUUUGAUGCUAGUAUUAUACUGGACUUUCUCAAAAUGAAGUACACCUAUAUAUGCAUAUAGUAUAUGAGCAUGUGUAUUUGUACAAAAGCCCUUCAAAAGGAGUUCAGCUUUUAUAAACACCAAAACACUCUCUGCCUGUAAAAUGUUUUUGCUGAAAUUUGUAUCAUUAACUCUCAAAUUUACAUCUUCAUGUUUGAGAUACGCUUUUAGGACUGUCUAUGCAUGUAGACUUUGGUCAACUCUCUCCUCCUCCCUCAAUAAAUCAGUUAACUUAAAAAAUAUAUUGUGACCAUUUUUAUAAAAUACAUGUUCAUAAAACAGAUCAACAUAUUUAGCUUAUACAGAAAUAAAAUUAAGUCAAUCCACUCACAAAGAAUUUCUAUUUUGUAAAAAUGUAGCUUGUAUUUCAGUAUAAUAAAAUCUGAUGUAAGAAACUGU